rnacentral:rRNA from 1 species
UGAGGAAUAUUGGACAAUGGAUGGAAAUCUGAUCCAGCCAUGCCGCGUGCAGGAAGACGGCCCUAUGGGUUGUAAACUGCUUUUGUAUGGGAGCAAUACGGUCUAUGCGUAGACUGAUGAGAGUACCAUACGAAUAAGCAUCGGCUAACUCCGUGCCAGCAGCCGCGGUAAUACGACGGAUGCAAGCGUUAUCCGGCUUUAUUGGGUGUAACGGGUGCGUAGGCGGUUUGAUAAGUCAGCGGUGAAAUAGUUGAGCUUGAC